GACGAACGCUGGCGGCGUGCCUAAUACAUGCAAGUUGAGCGCUGAAGGUUGGUACUUGUACCAACUGGAUGAGCAGCGAACGGGUGAGUAACGCGUGGGGAAUCUGCCUUUGAGCGGGGGACAACAUUUGGAAACGAAUGCUAAUACCGCAUAAAAACUUUAAACACAAGUUUUAAGUUUGAAAGAUGCAAUUGCAUCACUCAAAGAUGAUCCCGCGUUGUAUUAGCUAGUUGGUGAGGUAAAGGCUCACCAAGGCGAUGAUACAUAGCCGACCUGAGAGGGUGAUCGGCCAAAUUGGGAAUGAGACACGGCCCAAACGCCUACGGGAGGCAGCAGUAGGGAAACUUCGGCAAUGGACGAAAGUCUGACCGAGCAAAGCCGCGUGAGUGAAGAAGGUUUUCGGAUCGUAAAACUCUGUUGGUAGAGAAGAACGUUGGUGAGAGUGGAAAGCUCAUCAAGUGACGGUAACUACCCAGAAAGGGACGGCUAACUACGUG
rnacentral:rRNA from 1 species